rnacentral:RNase_P_RNA from 1 species
GCCGUGUAAACGGCUACGGCGGCCAAACGCGCUAAGGCGUCAGCUAUGCGCUAGUAGGUCUGAAAAGUGCCACAGUGACGAAACGAUCAGGGAAACCUGAGCGGUGGAACGGGUAAACCCCGCGAGCGAGUAACCCAAACUUUUGGUAGGGGCGUUUUGCCAAGCAAAUUGAAGCGACGGCAAUACAGCGGUAACGCUGAGAUAGAUGAUGACUGAAGGAGCUUGUGCCUGAACAAGUUCUGGAACAAAACAUGGCUUAUAGGG